UACAGAGGGUGCGAGCGUUAAUCGGAAUUACUGGGCGUAAAGCGUGCGUAGACGGUUAUUUAAGUCGGGUGUGAAAGCCCCGGGCUCAACCUGGGAAUUGCAUUCGAGACUGAAUAGCUAGGGUACGGUAGAGGGAAGCGGAAUUUCCGGUGUAGCGGUGAAAUGCGUAGAUAUCGGGAGGAACACCAGUGGCGAAGGCGGCGACCUGGGCCAAUAUUGACGCUAAUGUGCGAAAGCGUGGGGAGCAAACAGG
rnacentral:rRNA from 1 species